ensembl:processed_transcript Dleu2 deleted in lymphocytic leukemia, 2
CAUCAAUCUAGCGGGAGGGAAGGGAUAACCUGUCCGAGCCUAGCGCGACGCUAGGAUCACGCCGGAAAAUCCCCCAAAAAUCAUCAAAAAAAUUAACUUAGAGCAGAGGGCAGUCGGUGGGGCUUCGCCAGAUGCGGCGCAGUCGAUUUUAACCAUUAGAAGAAUACCAGUUCUGGAAAACAACCAAAGUUUCUUUGAUUGAAUGCCCAUGUAAUGCAUUGGAAUAUGAUAGGCGAUUAAGGUUUAACAAUGUUAAAAUGAAGAUAUUACUAAAAUGGCCCUCUAAAUAGCCCAACAAUUAUUAUUUUCUUUGUCCUAUGGAUUUGGCUUUGAAAGAUGUGCUGCUCUUAAUAAGCUUUUCAUUCUGCCGGCCAUACUUUUUCUCCCUACUCUGGACGCCUCUAGAUGACUCCAGCUGUGCUCUCCUUCGUAAUCUACACACCCUCCUCAACCAUACCCUGGACCAGUCAUGUCCUCAUCUCAGACACGACUUUUCUGGUGAGAAACUGAAUUCUUUCAAUGCAUGCUUCCUUAU